UGAAGAAAGGUAGCCAUGGAAGAGAAUAUGGAAGAGGGACAAACACAGAAAGGUUUUGUUAUCCUGUUGUGUCAGACUAUGAAUUCCUUAUAAAGAGGAGGAACAGUAAGGAUCUUACAUAGGGAUAUAGGUCUUCUGAGAGAGGAAAUAAGCUUGCCGUAAAAGCUACAGGGUAUGUGUAAAACAACAACAAAAAAAAAACAUUCAAUUUGAGCCACCUGACUGAUGCAUCUGCUUUGUGGACUAGAGACUUCCAGUGAUGAUGCAAAAUUUUCUUGUCUCAAUGAUAUGAGAAUUGAAUAGAAAUGUCCAGCGGACCUGUUGUAAAUUUAUAAUAAAUAUUAGGGAAAGAAGA
rnacentral:lncRNA from 1 species